rnacentral:rRNA from 1 species
GAUGAACGCUGGCGGCGUGCCUAAUACAUGCAAGUCGAGCGAACGGACGAGAAGCUUGCUUCUCUGAUGUUAGCGGCGGACGGGUGAGUAACACGUGGAUAACCUACCUAUAAGACUGGGAUAACUUCGGGAAACCGUAGCUAAUACCGGAUAAUAUUUUGAACCGCAUGGUUCAAAAGUGAAAGACGGUCUUGCUGUCACUUAUAGAUGGAUCCGCGCUGCAUUAGCUAGUUGGUAAGGUAACGGCUUACCAAGGCAACGAUGCAUAGCCGACCUGAGAGGGUGAUCGGCCACACUGGAACUGAGACACGGUACAGACUCCUACGGGAGGCAGCAGUAGGGAAUCUUCCGCAAUGGGCGAAAGCCUGACGGAGCAACGCCGCGUGAGUGAUGAAGGUCUUCGGAUCGUAAAACUCUGUUAUUAGGGAAGAACAUAUGUGUAAGUAACUGUGCACAUCUUGACGGUACCUAAUCAGAAAGCCACGGCUAACUACGUG